rnacentral:rRNA from 1 species
UACGUAGGGGGCAAGCGUUGUCCGGAAUCAUUGGGCGUAAAGCGCGCGUAGGCGGCCAGAUAAGUCCGGUGUGAAAGUCACAGGCUCAACCUGUGAAUGCCGCUGGAAACUGUCUGGCUAGAGUCCGGAAGGGGCGAGUGGAAUUCCUGGUGUAGCGGUGAAUGCGCAGAUAUCAGGAGGAACACCAUGGCGAAGGCAGCUCGCUGGAACGGUACUGACGCUGAGGCGCGAAAGCGUGGGGAGCGAACAGG